GGCCUAUCAGGUAGUAGUGGGUGUAGUGUACCUACUAGCCUACGACGGGUACGGGUUGUGAGAGCAAGAGCCCGGAGAUGGAUUCUGAGACAUGAAUCCAGGCCCUACGGGGCGCAGCAGGCGCGAAAACUUUACAAUGCGGGAAACCGUGAUAAGGGGACACCGAGUGCUAGCAUCAUAUGCUGGCUGUCCAGGUGUGUAAAAUACACCUGUUAGCAAGGGCCGGGCAAGACCGGUGCCAGCCGCCGCGGUAACACCGGCGGCCCGAGUGGUGAUCGUGAUUAUUGGGUCUAAAGGGUCCGUAGCCUGUUUGGUCAGUCCUCCGGGAAAUCUGACAGCUUAACUGUUAGGCUUUCGGAGGAUACUGCCAGACUUGGAACCGGGAGAGGUAAGAGGUACUACAGGGGUAGGAGUGAAAUCUUGUAAUCCCUGUGGGACCACCUGUGGCGAAGGCGUCUUACCAGAACGGGUUCGACGGUGAGGGACGAAAGCUGGGGGCACGAACCGGAUUAGAUACCCGGGUAGUCCCAGCCGUAAACGAUGCUCGCUAGGUGUCAGGCAUGGCGCGACCGUGUCUGGUGCCGCAGGGAAGCCGUGAAGCGAGCCACCUGGGAAGUACGGCCGCAAGGCUGAAACUUAAAGGAAUUGGCGGGGGAGCAC
rnacentral:rRNA from 1 species